rnacentral:rRNA from 1 species
UACGUAGGGUGCAAGCGUUGUCCGGAAUUAUUGGGCGUAAAGAGCUCGUAGGCGGUCUGUUGCGUCGGCUGUGAAAACCCGGGGCUCAACCCCGGGCCUGCAGCCGAUACGGGCAGACUAGAGUUCGGCAGGGGGAGACUGGAAUUCCUGGUGUAGCGGUGAAAUGCGCAGAUAUCAGGAGGAACACCGGUGGCGAAGGCGGGUCUCGCUGGCGAUACUGACGCUGAGGAGCGAAAGCGUGGGGAGCGAACAGG